rnacentral:rRNA from 1 species
ACGGUAACAGGAAGCAGCUUGCUGCUUCGCUGACGAGUGGCGGACGGGUGAGUAAUGUCUGGGAAACUGCCUGAUGGAGGGGGAUAACUACUGGAAACGGUAGCUAAUACCGCAUAACGUCGCAAGACCAAAGAGGGGGACCUUCGGGCCUCUUGCCAUCGGAUGUGCCCAGAUGGGAUUAGCUAGUAGGUGGGGUAACGGCUCACCUAGGCGACGAUCCCUAGCUGGUCUGAGAGGAUGACCAGCCACACUGGAACUGAGACACGGUCCAGACUCCUACGGGAGGCAGCAGUGGGGAAUAUUGCACAAUGGGCGCAAGCCUGAUGCAGCCAUGCCGCGUGUAUGAAGAAGGCCUUCGGGUUGUAAAGUACUUUCAGCGGGGAGGAAGGGAGUAAAGUUAAUACCUUUGCUCAUUGACGUUACCCGCAGAAGAAGCACCGGCUAACUCCGUGCCAGCAGCCGCGGUAAUACGGAGGGUGCAAGCGUUAAUCGGAAUUACUGGGCGUAAAGCGCACGCAGGCGGUUUGUUAAGUCAGAUGUGAAAUCCCCGGGCUCAACCUGGGAACUGCAUCUGAUACUGGCAAGCUUGAGUCUCGUAGAGGGGGGUAGAAUUCCAGGUGUAGCGGUGAAAUGCGUAGAGAUCUGGAGGAAUACCGGUGGCGAAGGCGG